GUGUCAGCCGCCGCGGUAAUACCGGCAGCCCGAGUGAUGGCCGAUCUUAUUGGGCCUAAAGCGUCCGUAGCUGGCCGCACAAGUCCAUCGGAAAAUCCACCCGCCCAACGGGUGGGCGUCCGGUGGAAACUGCGUGGCUUGGGACCGGAAGGCGCGACGGGUACGUCCGGGGUAGGAGUGAAAUCCCGUAAUCCUGGACGGACCGCCGAUGGCGAAAGCACGUCGCGAGGACGGACCCGACAGUGAGGGACGAAAGCCAGGGUCUCGAACCGGAUUAGAAACCCGCGUAGUCC
rnacentral:rRNA from 1 species